UGUCUUCACUCCCAUAUCUUUCCUCCCCUUCUCCUCUCUCACGGCCUUCGUCCACCAAACGAUGUAGCUGAGGAAGAUGAUCCAACUUAAUCUCCACCACGACCACGAAGUGGUUGAUUAUAGUUUCUCACAGCUACACAGCCAUAUGAUUAUCGUUAGAUCUGUCGGUCUUCUCCGCUCUCUCUUUCUUCCUAUCUCAAUUUCUGUCGUGGAUAGUGCCAUAGUGUGGUGGUUUUCCAAUGGUGAUUUCAGAUUCGCCGCCUGAUGGCGGAGGCGCCGUCGCCGCGAGUCCGGCUGCGGUGUCCGAUCUGCGGCGGAAGCUGAUUGCGAGAGGAGAAGCGGGUUUAGAUUCUAAGGACGGGAAAUUGAUCGCCGACUCGACGUCCAGUGAGGACUCGGUGCUGGUGAAGAUCAACGGAGACGAUAGCAAGGCGAGGAAUGAAGGUUUGGCGAAGUCAAUUCACAGCGGCGGGGAGGAUGGAAGCGGCUCUAUGGUGAAGUUUGCUUACCGGCCUUCAGAGAUUCCAGCUCACCGGAGGAUUAAGGAGAGUCCGCUCAGCUCCGACGCCAUUUUCAGACAGGGAAGUAGAAGGGACUUCUCCAAUGUCGACCCUCUUGUCAAACAUGCAUCAAGUUUCUACAGUUAAAUCAUACGGAGAAAGAACAUACCUCCUCAUUGCUUGCAUUGUAAUUGUCACUGGUUUGCUUUCUGGAUUGUCAACAAACCAUAUGGGGUUUGUAGGAAGGUUGGACGUGGUGACUUACUUGCAUCACCAUGGCCUUGAGGACAAGCUUCCAUGGUAUCGUGGAAAGGUAAAGUAUUCAACUUACUGACUUAGAUGUUAUUCACGCAUUUUUAUUUGGCCAUUUUGCUUUCAAGUUCAAUACGAAUUACUUAUAUAGCACUUUGUUGCACAUUCCAUACACUGCAAACUCUGACUUGGUAUGUAAAGUAAAUGGUGCUAAUAUGUGUUCUCUGGUAAAAACAAACAGGAAUGGAGUUAUCUAAGAGGAGAGCUACAACCAUAAUAGUUGGUAGAACUGUACUUAGUCAUUAUGACUUUUUAUUUGCUCGCAUGUACCAUUGGCCCUUGGUCAAUCACUUAAUCCCACGGUCUUAAUUAAUUUUAGCUAACUAUUGUCAUUGUUCUUUAUGUUGUGUUGCUUCUUAUGUUUAGUUUCUUUUAUUCACGUAUGCUUGUUCUAAAACUGAAUUCUGUACUGUUUCCAUAGAAUUUGCUACUUCACUUUUGUCUUCCCUGUUUGCUGCUCCUAUACUCAAAGCAGUUAGUUAACAGCAACAUAGGUAAUAGAUUGAAAACACCUUUAAGAAUAACUUCAGUAGCUUGUUGAUCGGCUAUAGAUUUAGAAAUAACAUGAUUAGUGGUGUACUUUGUUAUGAAAUGCCUAUAGAACGAUUUCUCUAAGUCAUUUAUUUACUCAAACUUCUUCCUAGCAUAUUGUGAUGGGAUAUCUAAAACUGAGACUGCU